GGCUUUUGCCCCUAUUAAUUCUCCGCCCAAAUCAGCAUCAUUAAGUCUGGUCAGUGGUGGAUACCUGUGGAGGGUCUCUGAACGUCUCAUGAUAAUCUGGAGCACCCAGGCCUCUGACGAACACUGAUGGAGACAAUCAAGGGCUGGUCCAGAACAUUCUCUCGGCAGUGCCUGGGCUCCAAGAAAGAGUGUGAAACACACAUGCACUUUUCCAAGCCUCUUCCUGCAGCACAUGUGCUGCUGUCCACAGACAAAAGCAAGUCUAUGGCCAAGCCCAGAGUCUGUGGGAAGAAAUUAACCAUAGGAACGGAUACAAUGAGGCCAUGUACAGUGCCUAUAUCGGUUUAUAGGAGCACCGCCCCACUGGAGAGACCCUGCCUUGGAGGCUGGGAGGUCGGAUGCGAGGGCCUCUCUGCCUGAUUCUGAGAUUCCUCAGGAUUUUUUUAUGCAAGAUUAUGAAAUUUACAAAUAGAGCAAUAUGCACAUACCUACAGAAACAUCUCUCAAAGGAAGAAUGAGCUCAAUCAAGUUCCUGAUCACCAACUCCGAACCCCUCCUGCCCUGCCAUUUGUGCAAAGAUAGAUUUGUAUUAUCUGCAUGGAUCCGCUAGUAGGUCUGGAAGAUCCAUGCACAGAAUUUCCAAUUUCCCAUAUUACUGCUACCCUUCAGCGCUAACCCUUUGGCUAUGUGGACUGACAGAGGCUCAUAACACAUCAUGCAGUCGGCCUUUGGUCUCUGCCGAACCAGCCCUUUGUCACCGAAUCCACUGGAGUGCAGAGGAAGACACGGUCAUUAUCCCAAACUCUGAAGAAGUAAGCCAAGAGCAUUUCAAAUAACUGAACAAUUUUCCAGAACAAUCCUCAAUCCUUUCAAGCCCAGACCCCCAAUGAAGAGACAAAUAACAUUCCAAGACAUGUGUCAGUAUCUUAUCUGUGUGCACACAGAGACACAGAAACUUCUAGCUCUGAAAGGAUCUUCCAGAUGUCAAAUGAACACGCUGACAGCCCAAUGGCAUCAUCCGAUUUUGUUGUCACAAACCUAUACAGUUUUCAUACCCAAUAAUAUAAACAUGUGUGUGUACAAACGCAUGAGCACAUAUGUAAGUACAUUUACAUAUGCAUACAUGUAUAUUUUAUAUAUGCACAUGGCAAAAUGUAUAAAUAUGAUAUCUAUCCAAAGCUGCUUGUUCUCUUUGGAGGACCCAGCAACAGACAGCAAAGUUGUGAUGUCUUCCUGACUCUGUAUUUCCCAUCAUUCCACAGGGCAUCUGCCCAUCUGACAGUGAAUCAGCAUUCUUGCCUCAGUGGCCAGGUAGGGCAGGGUCACCUGCAAAAUUAGAGAACUAAAGGAAAGAAGUCACAGUCAGAAUGACAGCAACUGAAGUCCUUCUUAAGAGCAUGUGAGGUCUCUCACCUCUCCAUUUGUUUCCUGUUUAAUAUGUGGUUUGGACAUUUUGAGGAAGAAAUCUAAUUUCAAAGUUGUCUAAAUAUGUUUAAUGACAAAUAUCAUGCUGUUUGAAAGCACAUUACUCUGAGUGACAUAUGUCUUCUGCACUACUUACUCGUAAGCCCAGAUCUUUUUUCUGUAACAAUUUUCUUUAAGCAGGAAAUAUUUUGCUAUUUCUGAAUAGCUAGCAGUUAUAUACUAUGGAAGCUAUGUACUACAGAAACUACAUACUCUAGAAACUAUAUCAUAAGUUUUGGCCCUGUGAAUUUAUGCAAAAUUAAUGACUGACAUAAAAUAGAUAAGCAACAGGGAUUUAUUGUA